rnacentral:rRNA from 1 species
CCCAGGCUUGACAUCCCGAGAACUUCUGAGAAAUCAGUCGGUGCUCUCUCACGAGGGAGCUCGGUGACAGGUGCUGCAUGGCUGUCGUCAGCUCGUGCUGUGAGGUGUUCGGUUAAGUCCGGCAACGAGCGCAACCCCUGUCGUUAGUUACCAGCAUUCAGUUGGGUACUCUAACGAGACUGCCGGUGACAAACCGGAGGAAGGUGGGGACGACGUCAAGUCCUCAUGGCCCUUAUGUCUGGGGCUACAUACGUGCUACAAUGGCGUCUACAAAGGGCAGCGAUGCCGUGAGGUGGAGCAAAUCCCAUAAAAGACGCCUCAGUUCGGAUUGGAGUCUGCAACUCGACUCCAUGAAGGUGGAAUCGCUAGUAAUCGCGGAUCAGCAUGCCGCGGUGAAUA